rnacentral:antisense_RNA from 1 species
UUUUUUUUUUUUUUUUUUUUUUUUUUUUUUUUUUUUUUUUUUUUUUUUUUUUUUUUUUUUUUUUUUUUUUUUUUUUUUUUUUUUUUUUUUUUUUUUUUUUACUGCUUCCAAACUUAAAAGCUUAAACAUAAAGAACACACAAAUUAUGAGAAACAUAACCUUCUGUAGUGUUUUUUAAUGGUUGUUAUUUGGUGGUGUGAAAAAGAUAUUCCUUGGAUAGAAGACAAAAAGAGAAAGUGAAUAGUGAUUUUGACCUAUGAUUAUCGUACAGAUGGAGAAUAAUCAUCAUGUGGGAGCAGAAGCUGAGAUGGAGAUGUCACCUGCUGGACAAAUCUCCGACAAUCUUCCGGUGACUCUCCCACUACUUAAUUAGCCACCUUAUUCGUGUGAGAAUUGCAUCGAGAUCUUGAGUGUAUGU